rnacentral:rRNA from 1 species
GACGAACGCUGGCGGCGUGCUUAACACAUGCAAGUCGAACGGAAAGGCCCUGCUUUUGUGGGGUGCUCGAGUGGCGAACGGGUGAGUAACACGUGAGUAACCUGCCCUUGACUUUGGGAUAACUUCAGGAAACUGGGGCGAAUACCGGAUAGGAGCUCCUGCUGCAUGGUGGGGGUUGGAAAGUUUCGGCGGUUGGGGAUGGACUCGCGGCUUAUCAGCUUGUUGGUGGGGUAGUGGCUUACCAAGGCUUUGACGGGUAGCCGGCCUGAGAGGGUGACCGGCCACAUUGGGACUGAGAGACGGACCAGACGCCUACGGGAGGCAGCAGUGGGGAAUCUUGCACAAUGGGCCGAAGCCUGAUGCAGCAACGCCGCGUGCGGGAUGACGGCCUUCGGGUUGUAAACCGCUUUCGCCUGUGACGAAGCGUGAGUGACGGUAAUGGGUCAAGAAGCACCGGCUAACUACGUG